rnacentral:rRNA from 1 species
UGGGGAAUUUUGCGCAAUGGGCGAAAGCCUGACGCAGCAACGCCGCGUGCGGGACGAAGGCCUUCGGGUUGUAAACCGCUUUCAGCAGGGAUGAAACUGACAGUACCUGCAGAAGAAGCCCCGGCUAACUACGUGCCAGCAGCCGCGGUAAUACGUAGGGGGCAAGCGUUAUCCGGAUUUAUUGGGCGUAAAGCGCGUGUAGGCGGCUUGUUAAGCGAGAUGUGAAAACCGGGGGCUUAACCCGCGGCCUGCAUCUCGAACUGGCAGGCUUGAGUCUGGUAGAGGAAAGUGGAAUUCCCAGUGUAGCGGUGAAAUGCGCAGAUAUUGGGAGGAACACCAGUGGCGAAGGCGGCUUUCUGGGCCACGACUGACGCUGAGACGCGAAAGCUAGGGGAGCGAACA